rfam:Anopheles gambiae str. PEST whole genome shotgun sequencing project, whole genome shotgun sequence.
AUAAUAGAGUGCUCUGCAAUGGGAUGAGAUCCGAAGCCCCUCGAGGGAUUAUACAGGCUCUCCCAUCCAGCUCCUAUUCCGACACGUCCUCGUUGUGCAGAAUGGUAACGUGUGCCACCACAUAUCCAAGCUUGGGUACACGGGCUUGAUCCAACCCCUUGGGCGGAUGAUGGCAUAUGGCGAACCAGGAGGGG